UGGGGAAUUUUGCACAAUGGGGGAAACCCUGAUGCAGCGACGCCGCGUGAUUUAGAAGGCCUUCGGGUUGUAAAAAUCUUUUCUAUGGGAAGAAAAUGACAGUACCAUAGGAAUAAGGACCGGCUAAUUACGUGCCAGCAGCCGCGGUAAUACGUAAGGUCCGAGCGUUGUCCGGAAUCAUUGGGCGUAAAGGGUACGUAGGCGGGUAAGCAAGUUAGAAGUGAAAUCCUAUAGCUCAACUAUAGUAAGCUUUUAAAACUGCUCAUCUUGGGGGAUGGAAGGGAAAGUGGAAUUCCUAGGGUAGCGGUGAAAUGCGCAGAUAUUAGGAGGAAUACCGGUGGCGAAGGCGACUUUCUGGCCAUAACCUGACGCUGAGGUACGAAAGAGUGGGUAGCAAACAGGA
rnacentral:rRNA from 1 species